UACGGAGGGGGCUAGCGUUGUUCGGAAUUACUGGGCGUAAAGCGCACGUAGGCGGCUUUGUAAGUUAGGGGUGAAAGCCUGGAGCUCAACUCCAGAAUUGCCUUUAAGACUGCAUCGCUUGAAUCCAGGAGAGGUGAGUGGAAUUCCGAGUGUAGAGGUGAAAUUCGUAGAUAUUCGGAAGAACACCAGUGGCGAAGGCGGCUCACUGGACUGGUAUUGACGCUGAGGUGCGAAAGCGUGGGGAGCAAACAGG
rnacentral:rRNA from 1 species